UGGCUCAGUGGUUAAGAGCACUGGCUGCUCUUCCAGAGGACCUGGGUUCAAUUCCCAG
rfam:Neotoma lepida isolate 417 scaffold_296, whole genome shotgun sequence.